rnacentral:rRNA from 1 species
AUUGAACGCUGGCGGCAGGCCUAACACAUGCAAGUCGAGCGAGCGGCGGACGGGUGAGUAAUGUAUGGGGACUGCCCGAUAGAGGGGGAUAACUACUGGAAACGGUAGCUAAUACCGCAUACUAUCGGAUAACCCAUAUGGGAUUAGCUAGUUGGUGAGGUAAUGGCUCACCAAGGCGACGACCCGUAGCUGGUCUGAGAGGAUGAUCAGCCCCACUGGGACUGGGACACGGCCCUGGCUCCUACGGAGGCAGCAGUGGGGAAUGUUGCACAAUGGGCGCAAGCCUUAUGCAGCCAUGCCGCGUGUAUGAAGAAGGCCCUAGGGUUGUAAAGUACUUUCUGUCGGGGGGCGUUACCGACAGAAGAAGCACCGGCUAACUCCGUGCCAGCAGCCGCGGUAAUUC